UACGUAGGGUGCGAGCGUUAAUCGGAAUUACUGGGCGUAAAGCGUGCGCAGGCGGCUUCGCAAGUCAGACGUGAAAUCCCCGGGCUUAACCUGGGAAUGGCGUUUGAAACUACGGAGCUGGAGUGUGGCAGAGGGAGGUAGAAUUCCACGUGUAGCGGUGAAAUGCGUAGAUAUGUGGAGGAAUACCGAUGGCGAAGGCAGCCUCCUGGGCCAACACUGACGCUCAUGCACGAAAGCGUGGGAGCAAAUGGG
rnacentral:rRNA from 1 species